CUGGACUCUCUUCAGGUAGAUCUUACCCUCCACAAAAGCCCAUGUAAUUCAGGAUGCUAAUUCCAGCUAAAUUCCAGUAACUCAAAACUAAAGGUAUACAAUCUCAUUAGAAGGCUAGGCACAGUUGCAGAGCUUUCAACUCUGGUAACCAGGAAUGCAUUCCACUGAUCCAUUGAAAUUAACACUUCCAGGAAUACUACCGAAUUAUAGAGUUGUUUCUGCUUUAUAAGAAAGGCAAUCAUAUAUAUGAGAAGGCAUACCAGAAAAGGAAUGAGAACUGAUAUUCAGUUGAAGUUCCAAAUCUGCCACUUGCAGACUGGAAUAGGAAAGGUACUGGAAAACAUUUAUCUCUUCAAACCUUGGCUCUCUCAUCAUGCAAAGGUAAACAGUAAUCCCUGUCUUGACUGCCUUCAAGAUUUAUUUAUUUACUUUAGAGAGAGCACAAGGUGGGAGUGGAAAAAGCAGAUUGUGCUGAUCUGAUCUCAGAGCCCAAUGUGGGGCUGGACCUCAGGACCAGGUGAUCACAACCAGACGGGAAGUCAAGGGUGGAAGCUUAACCAAUGGAGCCAUACAGGUGCUUCUAGGACUUUUCUUUCUUAAUGAAAUUUUGAACCUAUAUUUAAAAAUUCCAUCUGAAGUAUGUUUUUCCCUCUUCUUUCUACCUCUUUAACUAUAUCAUUCUGCACAUUAUAAAUUCUUUGCUAUCUUUAAAUUCUUCCAUGACCUCUUAGUCCUUGGAAAUUGUUGUCUUCUGAUUACUUACAAUAACCUUCUGUCUAACCUGCCCAGAUA